UUGGUUUUUUAUUGUAAUAUUAUUAUUCAUAUUGUUUAAUAAUAAAGUCAUUCAUUCAUUCAUUGCCUAAUGUUUUUUUUUCAUACUUUAAUCAGUGUUUACCUCCCCUGUUAUUCAAACAUCUUAGUGGUAAAUGAGCAGGGGACCGCUAUGAUGUAAUCUUUUCACAAAUGUAGUUUCUGAUAUGAUGGAGUUUCAGGCAACUCUGUGGUUAGCUUUUUUUAAUGGCAUAAUGAAGGCUGUAGUUAAACUUGACAACCCUGCAAUCAGCCAACCAGCUCGACCACACAUUCAGUUUAACUCUUAACAACACUGCAGCCAUCGUGACUGAACACACACAGAGAGAGGGAUCCUGUCAGGACUGGCUACGAUCCAGCCCCAUAUCUCAUGCCAACCCAGAGAGCUGUGAGGAGCAUGAGAUCAAAUGAAUUCCUGUGGCCUGCAUGCUGCUCACUGCUAUAAGGAAGUUUGGAGUGGGAGUACACAUGGACCACAGCUAUCGUACAACUGCGACCUGUUAUGUUUGCAGGCAAUGGAUACGUAGAGGCCGCCAAGUCACGGGUCAGCGUUGUCGCCAUAUUAGGGAAUGGCAGGAAGCCUUAUAAACACAAGAGCUGUGGUUUCUGGAUGAAAAUCACAAAAACCUUCACAUUUUUAAACCGAUUCCAAUGGUUUACGAUCUAAGUGGAGUACAAAAACAUUCUGUCUCCACUUUGAAUUUCGAUAGUUACACUUGGAAAAUGGUUCAUUCUCAUAAAGAAUUGUGAAAACUCAGGCUUGUCAAGCAGUGAUUUGCAUUAUUUUUCUUGGUUAAUAAUUGAGCAUCCAUAAGGUAAUAUCAUUUAAUGUUUAUGAUAUGUGGCUUUUUCUGUCAUGGUUUUAGCUUUUCUUUUACGGGUCAGAACAGAACACGGCUCAUUCACACAAAUCAAAUAGUGACAGUCAGUCUGCUUAGUAUAU